rnacentral:rRNA from 2 species
UGCCAGUACGGCGAGUGAGCGGCAAAGCUCAAAUUUGAAAUCCCCCGGGAAUUGUAAUUUGAAGAGAUUUGGGUCCGGCCGGCGGGGGUUAAGUCCACUGGAAAGUGGCGCCACAGAGGGUGACAGCCCCGUGAACCCCUUCAACGCCCUCAUCCCAGAUCUCCAAGAGUCGAGUUGUUUGGGAAUGCAGCUCUAAGUGGGUGGUAAAUUCCAUCUAAAGCUAAAUACCGGCGAGAGACCGAUAGCGAACAAGUACAGUGAUGGAAAGAUGAAAAGCACUUUGAAAAGAGAGUGAAAAAGUACGUGAAAUUGUUGAAAGGGAAGGGCUUGCAAGCAGACACUUAACUGGGCCAGCAUCGGGGCGGCGGGAAGCAAAACCACCGGGGAAUGUACCUUUCGAGGAUUAUAACCCCGGUCCUUAUUCCUGUUGCCCCGAGGCCUGCAAUCUAAGGAUGCUGGCGUAAUGGUUGCAAGUCGCCCGUCUUGAAAACAC